rnacentral:rRNA from 1 species
UAGGGAAUCUUCGGCAAUGGACGAAAGUCUGACCGAGCAACGCCGCGUGAGUGAAGAAGGUUUUCGGAUCGUAAAACUCUGUUGUUAGAGAAGAACAAGGACGUUAGUAACUGAACGUCCCCUGACGGUAUCUAACCAGAAAGCCACGGCUAACUACGUGCCAGCAGCCGCGGUAAUACGAAGGUGGCAAGCGUUGUCCGGAUUUAUUGGGCGUAAAGCGAGCGCAGGCGGUUUCUUAAGUCUGAUGUGAAAGCCCCCGGCUCAACCGGGGAGGGUCAUUGGAAACUGGGAGACUUGAGUGCAGAAGAGGAGAGUGGAAUUCCAUGUGUAGCGGUGAAAUGCAUAGAUAUAUGGAGGAACACAAGUGGCGAAGGCGGCUCUCUGGUCUGUAACUGACGCUGAGGCUCGAAAGCGUGGGGAGCAAACAGG